rnacentral:rRNA from 1 species
AGAGUUUGAUCCUGGCUCAGAUUGAACGCUGGCGGCAGGCCUAACGCAUGCAAGUCGAACGGUAACAGGAAACAGCUUGCUGUUUCGCUGACGAGUGGCGGACGGGUGAGUAAUGUCUGGGAAACUGCCUGAUGGAGGGGGAUAACUACUGGAAACGGUAGCUAAUACCGCAUAACGUCGCAAGACCAAAGAGGGGGACCUUCGGGCCUCUUGCCAUCGGAUGUGCCCAGAUGGGAUUAGCUAGUAGGUGGGGUAAUGGCUCACCUAGGCGACGAUCCCUAGCUGGUCUGAGAGGAUGACCAGCCACACUGGAACUGAGACACGGUCCAGACUCCUACGGGAGGCAGCAGUGGGGAAUAUUGCACAAUGGGCGCAAGCCUGAUGCAGCCAUGCCGCGUGUAUGAAGAAGGCCUUCGGGUUGUAAAGUACUUUCAGCGGGGAGGAAGGGAGUAAAGUUAAUACCUUUGCUCAUUGACGUUACCCGCAGAAGAAGCACCGGCUAACUCCGUGCCAGCAGCCGCGGUAAUACGGAGGGUGCAAGCGUUAAUCGGAAUUACUGGGCGUAAAGCGCACGCAGGCGGUUUGUUAAGUCAGACGUGAAAUCCCCGGGCUCAACCUGGGAACUGCAUCUGAUACUGGCAAGCUUGAGUCUCGUAGAGGGGGGUAGAAUUCCAGGUGUAGCGGUGAAAUGCGUAGAGAUCUGGAGGAAUACCGGUGGCGAAGGCGGCCCCCUGGACGAAGACUGACGCUCAGGUGCGAAAGCGUGGGGAGCAAACAGGAUUAGAUACCCUGGUAGUCCACGCCGUAAACGAUGUCGACUUGGAGGUUGUGCCCUUGAGGCGUGGCUUCCGGAGCUAACGCGUUAAGUCGACCGCCUGGGGAGUACGGCCGCAAGGUUAAAACUCAAAUGGAUUGACGGGGGCCCGCACAAGCGGUGGAGCAUGUGGUUUAAUUCGAUGCAACGCGAAGAACCUUACCUGGUCUUGACAUCCACAGAACUUUCCAGAGAUGGAUUGGUGCCUUCGGGAACUGUGAGACAGGUGCUGCAUGGUUGUCGUCAGCUCGUGUUGUGAAAUGUUGGGUUAAGUCCCGCAACGAGCGCAACCCUUAUCCUUUGUUGCCAGCGGUCCGGCCGGGAACUCAAAGGAGACUGCCAGUGAUAAACUGGAGGAAGGCGGGGAUGACGUCAAGUCAUCAUGGCCCUUACGACCAGGGCUACACACGUGCUACAAUGGCGCAUACAAAGAGAAGCGACCUCGCGAGAGCAAGCGGACCUCAUAAAGUGCGUCGUAGUCCGGAUUGGAGUCUGCAACUCGACUCCAUGAAGUCGGAAUCGCUAGUAAUCGUGGAUCAGAAUGCCACGGUGAAUACGUUCCCGGGCCUUGUACACACCGCCCGUCACACCAUGGGAGUGGGUUGCAAAAGAAGUAGGUAGCUUAACCUUCGGGAGGGCGCUAACCACUUUGUGAUUCAUGACUGGGGUGAAGUCGUAACAAGGU